rnacentral:rRNA from 1 species
GACGAACGCUGGCGGCGUGCUUAACACAUGCAAGUCGAACGGAAAGGCCCUGCUUUUGUGGGGUGCUCGAUUGGCGAACGGGUGAGUAACACGUGAGUAACCUGCCCUUGACUUUGGGAUAACUUCAGGAAACUGGGGCUAAUACCGGAUAGGAGCUCCUUCUGCAUGGUGGGGGUUGGAAAGUUUCGGCGGUUGGGGAUGGACUCGCGGCUUAUCAGCUUGUUGGUGGGGUAGUGGCUUACCAAGGCUUUGACGGGUAGCCGGCCUGAGAGGGUGACCGGCCACAUUGGGACUGAGAUACGGCCCAGACUCCUACGGGAGGCAGCAGUGGGGAAUAUUGCACAAUGGGCGGAAGCCUGAUGCAGCAACGCCGCGUGCGGGAUGACGGCCUUCGGGUUGUAAACCGCUUUCGCCUGUGACGAAGCGUGAGUGACGGUAAUGGGUAAAGAAGCACCGGCUAACUACGUG